GCUUAUGUGGGCCUCAGUGGUUAAGACCGGUCCUUGAGGAAAAUGGACUUGAGUUGUUCUUCCUCUGGAAGCAGAGUUGGACACCUUCCUGGCUAAUGAGUGUCCUCAUCAAGAUGUCCCUUGGAGUCACUCCCUGGAUUGACCCAGAAAGUGACAUGAUCUAAAUAUCCUGGGAUUCCACCACCUCCAACCACCUGGAACUCAGUGGAAACGGGACUGUUGUGCACCAGGAAGAAGUCCGACUCAACUGCAGGGAAGACUUUGAACCGUCUUGAACCAUCCAGAAGUACUUCAUAGAAGGGACCUGUAAUCAGAUUGUGAUGUACCUUUUCUGCCCUUCUGUGAUCUCAGUGGCAACCUGAAUCACCCUUCCACAAACCAUGACUUUUAGAAGAUUCUCCUAAUGUAUUACAGACCCUGGGUUUUUUCCUGUGUCAUGUGAUCGUGGCAGGUGGCCUAGCUCCAGUAGAUCUUUUGAAUAGAUGGAUACAUACUUCUCCUUUAUUAAGGAAAAAUUAAGAAAUAGAAACCCAAAGCACCAUGAAACUUAAAGCUUGAUCUCCAUUAAAAGAAAUUAAUCAGUUAA